rnacentral:rRNA from 2 species
AAUCCAUAGGUUAAUGAGGCGAACCGGGGGAACUGAAACAUCUAAGUACCCCGAGGAAAAGAAAUCAACCGAGAUUCCCCCAGUAGCGGCGAGCGAACGGGGAGGAGCCCAGAGCCUGAAUCAGCAUGUGUGUUAGUGGAAGCGUCUGGAAAGGCGCGCGAUACAGGGUGACAGCCCCGUACACAAAAGCGCAUGUGCUGUGAGCUCGAUGAGUAGGGCGGGACACGUGGUAUCCUGUCUGAAUAUGGGGGGACCAUCCUCCAAGGCUAAAUACUCCUGACUGACCGAUAGUGAACCAGUACCGUGAGGGAAAGGCGAAAAGAACCCCGGCGAGGGGAGUGAAAAAGAACCUGAAACCGUGUACGUACAAGCAGUGGGAGCACAGGUUUACCUGUGUGACUGCGUACCUUUUGUAUAAUGGGUCAGCGACUUAUAUUCUGUAGCAAGGUUAACCGUAUAGGGGAGCCGUAGGGAAACCGAGUCUUAACCGGGCGUUAAGUUGCAGGGUAUAGACCCGAAACCCGGUGAUCUAGCCAUGGGCAGGUUGAAGGUUGGGUAACACUAACUGGAGGACCGAACCGACUAAUGUUGAAAAAUUAGCGGAUGACCUGUGGCUGGGGGUGAAAGGCCAAUCAAACCGGGAGAUAGCUGGUUCUCCCCGAAAGCUAUUUAGGUAGCGCCUCGUGAAUUCAUCUCCGGGGGUAGAGCACUGUUUCGGCUAGGGGGCCAUCCCGGCUUACCAACCCGAUGCAAACUGCGAAUACCGGAGAAUGUUAUCACGGGAGACACACGGCGGGUGCUAACGUCCGUCGUGAAGAGGGAAACAACCCAGACCGCCAGCUAAGGUCCCAAAGUCAUGGUUAAGUGGGAAACGAUGUGGGAAGGCCCAGACAGCCAGGAUGUUGGCUUAGAAGCAGCCAUCAUUUAAAGAAAGCGUAAUAGCUCACUGGUCGAGUCGGCCUGCGCGGAAGAUGUAACGGGGCUAAACCAUGCACCGAAGCUGCGGCAGCGACGCUGAUGCGUUGUUGGGUAGGGGAGCGUUCUGUAAGCCUGUGAAGGUGGCCUGUGAGGGUUGCUGGAGGUAUCAGAAGUGCGAAUGCUGACAUAAGUAACGAUAAAGCGGGUGAAAAGCCCGCUCGCCGGAAGACCAAGGGUUCCUGUCCAACGUUAAUCGGGGCAGGGUGAGUCGACCCCUAAGGCGAGGCCGAAAGGCGUAGUCGAUGGGAAACGGGUUAAUAUUCCCGUACUUGGUGUUACUGCGAAGGGGGGACGGAGAAGGCUAUGUUGGCCGGGCGACGGUUGUCCCGGUUUAAGCGUGUAGGUGUGUGUUCCAGGUAAAUCCGGUUCACUUUAACACUGAGGCGUGAUGACGAGGCACUACGGUGCUGAAGCAACAAAUGCCCUGCUUCCAGGAAAAGCCUCUAAGCAUCAGGUAACAUCAAAUCGUACCCCAAACCGACACAGGUGGUCAGGUAGAGAAUACCAAGGCGCUUGAGAGAACUCGGGUGAAGGAACUAGGCAAAAUGGUGCCGUAACUUCGGGAGAAGGCACGCUGACACGUAGGUGAAGUGAUUUACUCAUGGAGCUGAAGUCAGUCGAAGAUACCAGCUGGCUGCAACUGUUUAUUAAAAACACAGCACUGUGCAAACACGAAAGUGGACGUAUACGGUGUGACGCCUGCCCGGUGCCGGAAGGUUAAUUGAUGGGGUCAGCGCAAGCGAAGCUCCUGAUCGAAGCCCCGGUAAACGGCGGCCGUAACUAUAACGGUCCUAAGGUAGCGAAAUUCCUUGUCGGGUAAGUUCCGACCUGCACGAAUGGCGUAAUGAUGGCCAGGCUGUCUCCACCCGAGACUCAGUGAAAUUGAACUCGCUGUGAAGAUGCAGUGUACCCGCGGCAAGACGGAAAGACCCCGUGAACCUUUACUAUAGCUUGACACUGAACAUUGAGCCUUGAUGUGUAGGAUAGGUGGGAGGCUUUGAAGCGUGGACGCCAGUCUGCAUGGAGCCGGCCUUGAAAUACCACCCUUUAAUGUUUGAUGUUCUAACGUGGACCCGUGAUCCGGGUUGCGGACAGUGUCUGGUGGGUAGUUUGACUGGGGCGGUCUCCUCCUAAAGAGUAACGGAGGAGCACGAAGGUUGGCUAAUCCUGGUCGGACAUCAGGAGGUUAGUGCAAUGGCAUAAGCCAGCUUGACUGCGAGCGUGACGGCGCGAGCAGGUGCGAAAGCAGGUCAUAGUGAUCCGGUGGUUCUGAAUGGAAGGGCCAUCGCUCAACGGAUAAAAGGUACUCCGGGGAUAACAGGCUGAUACCGCCCAAGAGUUCAUAUCGACGGCGGUGUUUGGCACCUCGAUGUCGGCUCAUCACAUCCUGGGGCUGAAGUAGGUCCCAAGGGUAUGGCUGUUCGCCAUUUAAAGUGGUACGCGAGCUGGGUUUAGAACGUCGUGAGACAGUUCGGUCCCUAUCUGCCGUGGGCGCUGGAGAACUGAGGGGGGCUGCUCCUAGUACGAGAGGACCGGAGUGGACGCAUCACUGGUGUUCGGGUUGUCAUGCCAAUGGCACUGCCCGGUAGCUAAAUGCGGAAGAGAUAAGUGCUGAAAGCAUCUAAGCACGAAACUUGCCCCGAGAUGAGUUCUCCCUGAGACUUAGAGUCUCCUGAAGGAACGUUGAAGACGACGACGUUGAUAGGCCGGGUGUGUAAGCGCAGCGAUGCGUUGAGCUAACCGGUACUAAUGAACCGUGAGGCUUAACCUU